UACGAAGGGUGCAAGCGUUAAUCGGAAUUACUGGGCGUAAAGGGUGCGUAGGCGGUUCGUUAAGUCUGUCGUGAAAUCCCCGGGCUCAACCUGGGAAUGGCGAUGGAUACUGGCGAGCUAGAGUGUGUCAGAGGAUGGUGGAAUUCCCGGUGUAGCGGUGAAAUGCGUAGAGAUCGGGAGGAACAUCAGUGGCGGAAGGCGGCCAUCUGGGACAACACUGACGCUGAAGCACGAAAGCGUGGGGAGCAAACAGG
rnacentral:rRNA from 1 species